GCCCAGACUCCUACGGGAGGCAGCAGUAGGGAAUCUUCCGCAAUGGACGAAAGUCUGACGGAGCAACGCCGCGUGAGUGAUGAAGGUUUUCGGAUCGUAAAGCUCUGUUGUUAGGGAAGAACAAGUGCCGUUCAAAUAGGGCGGCACCUUGACGGUACCUAACCAGAAAGCCACGGCUAACUACGUGCCAGCAGCCGCGGUAAUACGUAGGUGGCAAGCGUUGUCCGGAAUUAUUGGGCGUAAAGGGCUCGCAGGCGGUUUCUUAAGUCUGAUGUGAAAGCCCCCGGCUCAACCGGGGAGGGUCAUUGGAAACUGGGGAACUUGAGUGCAGAAGAGGAGAGUGGAAUUCCACGUGUAGCGGUGAAAUGCGUAGAGAUGUGGAGGAACACCAGUGGCGAAGGCGACUCUCUGGUCUGUAACUGACGCUGAGGAGCGAAAGCGUGGGGAGCGAACAGGAUUAGAUACCCUGGUAGUCCACGCCGUAAACGAUGAGUGCUAAGUGUUAGGGGGUUUCCGCCCCUUAGUGCUGCAGCUAACGCAUUAAGCACUCCGCCUGGGGAGUACGGUCGCAAGACUGAAACUCAAAGGAAUUGACGGGGGCCCGCACAAGCGGUGGAGCAUGUGGUUUAAUUCGAAGCAACGCGAAGAACCUUACCAGGUCUUGACAUCCUCUGACAAUCCUAGAGAUAGGACGUCCCCUUCGGGGGCAGAGUGACAGGUGGUGCAUGGUUGUCGUCAGCUCGUGUCGUGAGAUGUUGGGUUAAGUCCCGCAACGAGCGCAACCCUUGAUCUUAGUUGCCAGCAUUCAGUUGGGCACUCUAAGGUGACUGCCGGUGACAAACCGGAGGAAGGUGGGGAUGACGUCA
rnacentral:rRNA from 1 species